UACGGGUAUAUCACGUCGAAAAACCGGUUCCCGUACAAUCACCGAAGUUAAACAACGUCAAGCCUGGUUAGUACCUAGAUGGGUGAACGCUUGGAAGUACCAAGUUCUGUA